rnacentral:lncRNA from 1 species
CUUCCGGUUGUCAGCAACGGUCGUGGCUCAGGUUCAAGGUCCCUGAGGUCCCUGGCUCCCAUGUUUCUGGUUUCUUGGGUGUUACUGCCUCUUGAGGUUCUAGUUCAUUGAGGUUCUACACUCCCAAAGCUCUGGAUUUGAGGGGUUCUAGGUACCUGAGGUCCCCUCCCCCCAGCUCCAGGUCCCAGAGGCUCUAGAUUCCCGAGGUUCUAGAUAGUCGAGGCUCUGGACUACUGAUGUUCUAAAUCACCGAGGUUCUGGGUCACUGAG